GUCAAGUUGCACAACUCCCAUGUGCCAUGAUAACGUGCUAGAUUUACUUUAAAAUGAUGCCUACAAAUGAGAUAAAGCAGCUUUAACAUUUGGUACAACAAUGGAAUAUAUAUCCUGGCAAGAGGCUGCUUGUUCACCUGGAGAAUGGAAUCAGAAUACACAUGCCAUAGAGACACAGUCGCUGACCCACAGCCACCAACAUGUGAAGGACGACUUUCUAUGCUUAGUAAUCCUGGUGUACAUUUAAGCAUAUCCCAAACUCUCUACUUUUCAGCAAUCCUUCCCACUGUCAGGAGUUCCAUGGACUCUGAACACUGUGGAUGGAAACCAAUGUGAUCUGUGAACUUGG